AACGAACGCUGGCGGCAGGCUUAACACAUGCAAGUCGAACGCCCCGCAAGGGGAGUGGCAGACGGGUGAGUAACGCGUGGGAACAUACCCUUUCCUGCGGAAUAGCUCCGGGACACUGGAAUUAAUACCGCAUACGCCCUACGGGGGAAAGAUUUAUCGGGGAAGGAUUGGCCCGCGUUGGAUUAGCUAGUUGGUGGGGUAAAGGCCUACCAAGGCGACGAUCCAUAGCUGGUCUGAGAGGAUGAUCAGCCACAUUGGGACUGAGACACGGCCCAAACUCCUACGGGAGGCAGCAGUGGGGAAUAUUGGACAAUGGGCGCAAGCCUGAUCCAGCCAUGCCGCGUGAGUGAUGAAGGCCUUAGGGUUGUAAAGCUCUUUCACCGAUGAAGAUAAUGACGGUAGUCGGAGAAGAAGCCCCGGCUAACUUCGUG
rnacentral:rRNA from 1 species